rnacentral:rRNA from 1 species
CCUACGGGGCGCAGCAGUGAGGAAUAUUGGUCAAUGGUCGGGAGACUGAACCAGCCAAGCCGCGUGAGGGAUGAAGGUACAGAGUAUCGUAAACCUCUUUUGUCAGGGAACAAAGGCGGGGACGCGUCCCCGGAUGAGUGUACCUGAAGAAAAAGCAUCGGCUAACUCCGUGCCAGCAGCCGCGGUAAUACGGAGGAUGCGAGCGUUAUCCGGAUUUAUUGGGUUUAAAGGGUGCGCAGGCGGUUCGUCGCGUCCGGUGUGAAAGUCCAUCGCUUAACGGUGGAUCC